GACGAACGCUGGCGGCGUGCUUAACACAUGCAAGUCGAACGGUAAGGCCCUUCGGGGUACACGAGUGGCGAACGGGUGAGUAACACGUGGGUGAUCUGCCCUGCACUUCGGGAUAAGCCUGGGAAACUGGGUCUAAUACCGGAUAGGACCACUGCCUGCAUGGGUGGUGGUGGAAAGCUUUUGCGGUGUGGGAUGGGCCCGCGGCCUAUCAGCUUGUUGGUGGGGUGAUGGCCUACCAAGGCGACGACGGGUGGCCGGCCUGAGAGGGUGACCGGGCACACUGGGACUGAGAUACGGCCCAGACUCCUACGGGAGGCAGCAGUGGGGAAUAUUGCACAAUGGGCGCAAGCCUGAUGCAGCGACGCCGCGUGAGGGAUGACGGCCUUCGGGUUGUAAACCUCUUUCAGCACCGACGAAGCGCAAGUGACGGUAGGUGCAGAAGAAGGACCGGCCAACUACGUGCCAGCCGCCGCAGUAA
rnacentral:rRNA from 1 species